AAAGAACUCCAGAUUGGACUUCCUGGUGUAAAUCUCUUCUUGCCUCACACAGGUCGUUUCCUUGGUAGGGUCGCAGAAAACCUUAAGAGCUGCAGGGCUUCAAAGGGAGGACCUUGCAGUCCAAAGUAGCAAAAGGUGUCUGCAUUCUGAGCCUCUUUUCGUAACUGAGCACUCAAGGUGGGGGUCAUUGAGAUAAGGGCUUGGUCCCCAAACCACCACAGCGUGAAUUUAUUGACUUUCUCUUCUCCUCGACCCUCGUGGUCCUGGGAAGCAAGCACUUUUCCAUUUCCAAAUCCAGUGGCUCAAACACCUGGAAAUAGCCUAAAGAAAAUGCAAGUCAGGCCUGGCAGCUAGAGCAGGAGUCCUGGCUCUUGGCCCUUCCCCGGCCCAGCGCUCGGCUGUGGCACCCUAGAGUGUGUGUCUCCACUGUGCUAUUUUUCAGAAGAAUAUGAGGAACAGUACUCGGAGGCCAGACUUGUGGGGCAGACCUUCCGCUCUUCUGAUGAGGCCACUGAGCCCACCCCCAACCCAAGGCCCCAGUCUGCCAGGCGUCUGGAGUUUGUAUUGAUGGUGAGUUGCCUCAUCCCCCACCUGGGAGAGCCAGCAUGCACCCACUGACAGGAGACCUCCAGCUGCUUACUUUACCCAGUGGAAGCUGCUCACCCCUGCUCACCAGCAGAGCUACCCUGAGGCCCCACUGGGAUAGGCCCUGCACAGCAGGUGCCUGGCCUGGCGGCCUAUCCACGCUUUCCUGCCUCCCAGACGAAGCCUCCAACUACCCAGCCUAAACAGCCACCCUAUGGGCACUGGCUCAUCGCCAGGCAGGAAUACACCCUUUCCAUCACCUUCUCUCCCAACAGCCUACAAAACGGCAGCUGAGCGAGGAUGAGACUACCACCCAGGGUGUGAGGGCCCACGAGGCCUCCCUGAGCCUGUCUACCACAGCCGACAAGCAAACUGCCUGGAAUAGCCUCUUCCCUCUGCCCAUCCUAGAGGAGAAGCAGUGGCCUCAGCCUUGCUCCACGCAGUCUGACAUUGUGCCCAUCAACAUCUCUGGUCACAGCAACAGCCCAGCAGGCAGUGUGGCCCACUCUACCACCUCCGACAUCAGGCCCAGUCACUCAGUUCCAGAAGGGGUUCAUGGAAGAGUUGCAGUUGGUCAGGAUGCUCGGUUCCCAGGUCUCACCUCGCCAGUACUGAGAACUCCUUCCAGUGAGCCGGACGAACCUCACCAGGCACGGAGUGGCCCAAACCCUCCUGGCAUGGAGAGCAUGGGAAUGGUAUACAGUGUCCCCAGUUCUUGCAAUGGACCUACAGAAUCAACCUUCUCCACUUCCUGGAAGGGAGAUGCUUUUACCUACAUGACUCCAAGUGCCACCAGCCAGAGCAAUCAAGUCAAUGAAAAUGGGAAGAAUCCUUCCUGUGGGAAUUCUUGGGUCUCUCUAAACAAAGUCCCACCUCUGGUUCCUAAGGAGGCUGCUACCCUCCUUGUCGCUCGUGAUAACCCAGCAGGAUGCAGUGGAUCAGCUGGCUACCCUGAGCGCCUUAUUCAGCAAAGGCACAUGCCCGAAAGACUCUCCAAGAUUGGCCUUCUGACCAGUGGGACCUCGAGGCUGGAGACAGGCCCUGGUGGGGCCAGCAGAUUCCGGGAGCGGUCACUGUCUGUGCCCACAGACUCAGGCACCACAGAUGUGGACUAUGAUGAGGAGCAGAAGGCCAAUGAGGCCUGUGCCCUGCCUUUUGCCAGUACGAGCUCUGAAGGCAGUAACAGUGCUGACAACAUCGCCUCCCUUAGUGCCCAGCAAGAGGCCCAGCACAGAAGGCAGAGGUCCAAGAGUAUCUCACUUAGGAAGGCCAAAAAGAAGCCUUCCCCACCCACACGCAGUGUCUCACUGGUCAAAGAUGAGCCAGGCCUCUUGCCUGAAGGUGGGUCAGCACUACCCAAGGACCAGAGGCCCAAGAGCCUUUGCCUCUCCUUGGAACAUCAAGGACAUCACUCGUCCCACCCAGAUGCUCAGGGUCACCCAGCUGUUCCAAACCACAAAGAUCCAGAAGGUACACAAUUAUCCCACCACUGGUAUCUUACUGACUGGAAGUCUGGUGACACCUACCAAUCCCUGUCCAGCUCCAGCACUGCCACUGGCACCACAGUCAUUGAGUGCACCCAAGUUCAGGGCAGCUCAGAGUCUCUUGCCUCACCUUCCACCUCCAGAGCCACUACACCUUCCCAACUCUCCAUUGAAGUGGAGGCCAGGGAGAUAUCAUCCCCGGGAAGGCCCCCUGGACUGAUGUCACCCUCCAGUGGCUACUCCAGCCAGUCGGAAACACCAACACCCACUGUUUCCAUGUCCCUGACCCUGGGCCACUUACCCCCUCCAAGCAGCAGUGGCCGGGUACGUCCAGUGGUACCUGAGAGGAAGUCAUCACUACCCCCGACGUCACCAAUGGAGAAAUUUCCCAAGUCACGGCUAUCAUUUGACCUACCACUGACCUCUUCACCCAACCUGGAUCUGUCUGGGAUGAGUAUCUCCAUCCGAAGCAAAACCAAGGUGAGUCGGCACCACUCAGAGACAAAUUUUGGUGUCAAGCUGGCCCAGAAGACUAAUCCCAACCAGCCAAUCAUGCCUAUGGUUACUCAGUCCGACCUACGUUCUGUUCGCCUGAGGUCGGUCAGCAAGUCUGAGCCGGAAGAUGACAUUGAGAGCCCUGACUAUGCCGAGGAACCCAGAGCAGAAGAAGUCUUCACCUUGCCAGAGAGAAAGACAAAACCUCCCGUAGCUGAGAAGCCUCCGGUGGCCCGGAGGCCUCCAAGCUUGGUCCACAAGCCACCAUCUGUUCCCGAGGAGUAUGCACUAACUUCACCAACCUUGGCUAUGCCCCCCAGGAGCUCAAUUCAACAUGCGAGACCACUCCCUCAAGACAGCUACACAGUAGUGCGGAAACCAAAGCCCUCCAGCUUCCCAGAUGGCAGAAGCCCAGGGGAGUCAACAGCACCCUCAUCUCUUGUUUUCACGCCUUUUGCCAGUUCCUCUGAUGCUUUCUUCUCAGGAACACAGCAGCAUCCCCAGGGAAGUGCAGAGGAUGAGGGCCCCAAGGUGAGGGUUCUGCCUGAAAGAAUUAGCCUCCAGAGCCAGGAAGAAGCUGAGAAAAAGAAAGGCAAGAUUCCACCUCCCGUACCAAAAAAACCCAGCGUGCUGUACCUGCCUCUCACUUCUCCCACAGCUCAAACGGAGGCCUAUGUGGCAGAACCAAGGCUGCCUCUCAGCCCCAUCAUCACCCUGGAGGAAGACACCAAGCGUCCCCCCACCGGCGAUGACCUGCAAUCACUUGGUCAAAGGGUGACUUCAACUCCUCAGGCUGACAGUGAAAGGGAGGCAAGCCCUCUGGGUUAGUAAACUGUCUGCUGGCUUUUUCCUUCAGUCACAGGAGACAUGAGGGUGAGAAUGGAGUGCCAGAGAUGGAAGCAGAUGCCCCAGAAUAAUUAUCCUGAUCCCAAGUCAGUAGCGGGCACCCCUUGAGGGUUUGAAUUACUCUAAAUAGGAACCACGGGCUGGCCUUACUGCCCUUGAGAUCAAGACUAGCCCGAGGCAGAUCUCCAAGGCCCAGUUUAGGCCACUCUCCCCCUAAGUCUCUAGUGCUGAGAUAAUGAAAUCAAACUAGGUUCUAGCACCCUAGGACUUCAGCAUCCCACGUCCCUAGCCAAGCAUGCGUCCUGUCAUGGGAACUACUCCACCUCACUGUACAGUACUUUUCAUUGGCUGUACUGAAUUUAGUUCCCUACAUGGGACUCAAUACCCCACCAGACUGAGUUCAAGUGCCAUGGCAGGCUUGGAGCCAUCUGAAACAAUGGAAUAUGUUGCCACCAGCAGCCUCUUUUUGUGCCUUCAGGAGGAAAGGGAGCUCACUUUCUUGGGUGGUUUGAGUUCUUUGGCUCUUCCUGGAACCAUAAACAUAAUACAUAAUGCUUCUCAUCCUUU
rnacentral:sRNA from 1 species